rnacentral:rRNA from 1 species
AGAGUUUGAUCCUGGCUCAGAAUGAACGCUGGCGGCGUGCCUAACACAUGCAAGUCGGAUGUGCCGCAAGGUGCAUGGCAGACGGGUGAGUAACGCGUGGGGAAUCUACCUCUUUGUGGGGAAUAACGCUCCGAAAGGAGUGGUAAUACCGCAUGAGACCUUCGGCUGGGAUGCUGGAGGUGAAACCUGGGGACCGCAAGGCCUGGGGCAAGGAGAGGAUCCUGCGUCUGAUUAGCUAGUUGGCGGGGUAAUGGCCCACCAAGGCGACGAUCAGUAGCCGGCCUGAGAGGGUGAUCGGCCACACUGGAACUGAGACACGGUCCAGACUCCUACGGGAGGCAGCAGUGGGGAAUUUUGCGCAAUGGACGAGAGUCUGACGCAGCAACGCCGCGUGGGUGAUGAAGGUCUUCGGACUGUAAAACCCUGUCGUCAGGGACGAAGGUGGCACGACU